GCUGGGCAUGUUGGCUCAUGCCUGUAGUCCCAGCUAAUCAGGAGGCUGAGGUGGGAGGAUCACUUGAGCCCAGGAUUACAAGGCUACAGUGAGCCAUGAUUGUGCCACUGCACUCCAGCCUGGGUGACAGAGUGAGAUCCUGUCUCAA
ensembl:misc_RNA Metazoa_SRP Metazoan signal recognition particle RNA